AUUGAACGCUGGCGGCAUGCUUUACACAUGCAAGUCGAACGGCAGCGCGGGCUUCGGCCUGGCGGCGAGUGGCGAACGGGUGAGUAAUACAUCGGAACGUGCCCAGUUGUGGGGGAUAGCUCGGCGAAAGCCGGAUUAAUACCGCAUACGACCUGCGGGUGAAAGCGGGGGAUCUUCGGACCUCGCGCUCUUGGAGCGUCCGAUGGCGGAUUAGCUAGUUGGUGGGGUAAAGGCCUACUAAGGCGACGAUCUGUAGCUGGUCUGAGAGGACGACCAGCCACACUGGGAGUGAGACACGGCCCAGGCGCAUACGGGAGGCAGCAGUGGGGAAUUUUGGACAAUGGGCGAAAGCCUGAUCCAGCAAUGCCGCGUGUGUGAUGGAGGCCUUCGGGUUGUAAAGCAGUUGUGGCGGGAACGAAAAGGAUUGUGCCAAUACCACGGUUCGAUGACGGUACCCGCAAAAUAAGCACCGGCUAACUACGUG
rnacentral:rRNA from 1 species